UUUUAUUAAAUUAUUCUUAUUGUACUUAUUGCCACAAAUGCAUAGGCGUGAAUGGAUUUGAAUUCAGAACUAUAACGAAGAUUUUAUGUUCGAAACAUCAAACGUUUUCGGAUAUUUUUGUGUUUCGUCUUUAGUGACCUUGUUUUGUGAGUCACUAAGGGCCAUAUGUCCCCUCCUUUCUUUUCCAUCCGUGACCCCCUCCCCUCUUUUUUCUUUUUCUAAUUUUUUUUUUUUUGCAAGGACUCUCUCUCCUUACUUUCUCUUCUUCUCUCUAGCUCUCCCCAAGAUCUUUCUCUCACUCUCUCUGCGAUCUCACUCUCCUCUCUCUGAACUCACUCUCACCACUACAACAAUCCCAAGAUUUGGACGUUGAACCUCGAAACCUAGCAAAAAACAUGGCACCUUAACCAUGACAGCCAUGGUGCACCCUCACCCGACGAACUUCGGCAAUUUUUGUGAAUUUUUCGACGAAGGUGCGAUUAUUAGCAGCGUUUCCGUCCCUCUUAUUUCGCACGGCUUUUCAACAAAGGAGUAUCUGCGAUGAUACUUAUGUUGGCUUUGACCGGGUGAUGUAGUGGCCUACAGGCCUAGGAACGAGGCAUACUGUCCGAGCUACGAGACAUUCUCAUACCAGUGACUUUGUGUCCUUCUUUCUGCUUGGACAUUCUUGUAAUAGCACUUUUUAUUACACUUUCCGCUUGUAUUUUGAAUUAGUAGUAUGCUCUGAACAUGUCAUUCAUUAUCAUUUUUAUUUUAUUGACAAUUGAACUUA